rnacentral:misc_RNA from 1 species
UGGUUCUGGCAUCGAUGAAGAACGCAGCGAAAUGCGAUAAGUAAUGUGAAUUGCAGAAUUUUAGUGAAUCAUCGAAUCUUUGAACGCACAUUGCGCCCCUUGGUAUUCCGGGGGGCAUGCCUGUUCGAGCGUCAUUUCUCAACCCUCAAGCCUAGCUUGGUCUUGGGCUUUGUCGGCAACGGCUGGCCUUAAAAUCAGUGGCGGUGCUAUCGAGCUCUACGCGUAGUAAUUUUAAACCCUCGCGUGUGAGUCUUGGUAGGACGCUUGCCAACAACUUUUUUAAUGGUUGACCUCGGAUCAGGUAGGGAUACCCGCUGA